rnacentral:rRNA from 1 species
AUUGAACGCUGUGCGGCAGGCCUAACACAUGCAAGUCGAGCGGUAGCACAGAGAGCUUGCUCUCGGGUGACGAGCGGCGGACGGGUGAGUAAUGUCUGGGAAACUGCCUGAUGGAGGGGGAUAACUACUGGAAACGGUAGCUAAUACCGCAUAACGUCGCAAGACCAAAGUGGGGGACCUUCGGGCCUCAUGCCAUCAGAUGUGCCCAGAUGGGAUUAGCUAGUAGGUGGGGUAACGGCUCACCUAGGCGACGAUCCCUAGCUGGUCUGAGAGGAUGACCAGCCACACUGGAACUGAGACACGGUCCAGACUCCUACGGGAGGCAGCAGUGGGGAAUAUUGCACAAUGGGCACAAGCCUGAUGCAGCCAUGCCGCGUGUGUGAAGAAGGCCUUCGGGUUGUAAAGCACUUUCAGCGGGGAGGAAGGCGUUAAGGUUAAUAACCUUGGCGAUUGACGUUACCCGCAGAAGAAGCACCGGCUAACUCCGUGCCAGCAGCCGCGGUAAUACGGAAGGUGCAAGCGUUAAUCGGAAUUACUGGGCGUAAAGCGCACGCAGGCGGUCUGUCAAGUCGGAUGUGAAAUCCCCGGGCUCAACCUGGGAACUGCAUUCGAAACUGGCAGGCUAGAGUCUUGUAGAGGGGGGUAGAAUUCCAGGUGUAGCGGUGAAAUGCGUAGAGAUCUGGAGGAAUACCGGUGGCGAAGGCGGCCCCCUGGACAAAGACUGACGCUCAGGUGCGAAAGCGUGGGGAGCAAACAGGAUUAGGUACCCUGGUAGUCCACGCCGUAAACGAUGUCGAUUUGGAGGUUGUGCCCUUGAGGCGUGGCUUCCGGAGCUAACGCGUUAAAUCGACCGCCUGGGGAGUACGGCCGCAAGGUUAAAACUCAAAUGAAUUGACGGGGGCCCGCACAAGCGGUGGAGCAUGUGGUUUAAUUCGAUGCAACGCGAAGAACCUUACCUGGUCUUGACAUCCACAGAACUUAGCAGAGAUGCUUUGGUGCCUUCGGGAACUGUGAGACAGGUGCUGCAUGGCUGUCGUCAGCUCGUGUUGUGAAAUGUUGGGUUAAGUCCCGCAACGAGCGCAACCCUUAUCCUUUGUUGCCAGCGGUCCGGCCGGGAACUCAAAGGAGACUGCCAGUGAUAAACUGGAGGAAGGUGGGGAUGACGUCAAGUCAUCAUGGCCCUUACGACCAGGGCUACACACGUGCUACAAUGGCAUAUACAAAGAGAAGCGACCUCGCGAGAGCAAGCGGACCUCAUAAAGUAUGUCGUAGUCCGGAUUGGAGUCUGCAACUCGACUCCAUGAAGUCGGAAUCGCUAGUAAUCGUAGAUCAGAAUGCUACGGUGAAUACGUUCCCGGGGCU